AGUAAAUAUAAAUUACGAAAGCAAAAAAUUAUGGCGGUAUCUUAAGCUUUUCAGAGGAAUUUGCUCUUUAAUGGAUAAAACACCAAAAUCUUACUUAUAUUAGUUAAUUCAAUUUGUAUACCACUAUAAAAACAAUAAUUUACUAUUAUUGUUUAAAAUCAAUUGAAUUGAAGAAAAUUAAGUCAAGGUGCAGUAAAAAUUUAAGGAUGAAGUGAAUUACAUUACUUUAAAGUGAAUAAAAUUGAAAAAAUAAUUUAGGAUUUGAAAGUAAAGUUAAAAUAGAAAGUUGACUUGAAUUUAGCUCUAAGAUAUGUACAUA
rnacentral:rRNA from 1 species